UGGAGGGCGUUUUCACGUGUACGACCCGAGGAUGGGGCCCUGCUUCAAGGCACCCAGGCGUGUCCCGCUCGCCUGAACUCCCUGGGAGGGCGUCGGAAGAAAACACGUGUAUGCCCGAACGUGGAGGUGAAGGAAGCACGUGUGUGUGUGUGUCCCGGCCUCCCCUUUGGUUCGAGGAGCAGCGUGGUUAACCUACGGAACUCCCUCCCCCAGAAGUGGCUUGAAAAGCCUUUUUGUUAGGCAUUUGUUGUUGUUUAGUCUUGUCCGCCUCUUCGUGACCCCCUGGACCAGAGCACGCCCGGCACUCCUGUCUUCCACUGCCUCCCGCAGUUUGGUCAAACUCAUGCUGGUCGCUUCGAGAACACUAUCCAACCAUCUCGUCCUCUGUCAUCCCCUUCUCCUUGUGCCUCCAUCUUCCCAACAUCAGGGUCUUUCCAGAGUCUUCUCUCAUGAGGUGGCCAAAGUCUUGGAGCCUCAGCUUCAGGAUCUGUCCUUCCAGGGAGCACUCAGGGCUGAUUUCCUUCAGAAUGGAGAGGUUUGAUCUUCUUGCAGUCCAUGGGACUCUCAAGAGUCUCCUCCAGCACCAGAAUUCAAAAGCAUCCAUUCUUCGGCGAUCAGCCUUCUUGAUGGUCCAGCUCUCACUUCCAUACAUCACUACUGGGAUAACCAUGGCUUUAACUAUACGGACCUUUGUUGGCAAGGUGAUGUCUCUGCCUUUUAAGAUGCUGUCUAGGUUUGCCAUCGCCUUUCUCCCAAGAAGCAGGCGUCUUUUAAUUUCGCAACUGCUGUCACCAUCUACAAUGAUCAUGGAGCCCAAGAAAGUAAAAUCUCUCACUGCCUCCAUUUCUUCCCCUUCUAUUUGCCAGGAGGUGAUGGAACCAGUGGCCAUGAUCUUCGUUUUUUGAUGUUGAGCUUCAGACCAUAUUUUGCGCUCUCCUCUUUCACUCUCAUUAAAAGGUUCUUUAAUUCCUCCUCACUUUCUGCCAUCAAGGUUGUGUCAUCUGCAUAUCUUAGGUUGUUGAUAUUUCUUCCGGCGAUCUUAAUCUAGGGAUUCAUCCAGCCCAGCCUUUCGCAUGAUGAAUUCUGCAUAUAAGUUAAAUAAGCAGGGAGACAAUAUACAAAAAACAUGGAAAUGUAACUCAAUUCUUACAAAGCUUGACUGGCAGGUGAAGAUGGUGGAAAAUGUGGAACUUGCGAAAAUGACUGGGAGAAUAAGAGGAAACUCAAAACCAGAAAGUGUGUAAAGAAUGGAUAACAUUUACCAGUAAAUAUCUAAAGCAAUAUUGUGAAAAUGUAAAUCUUUGGAUUCUAGAUUGAAUCUUGAAUAUUCAGGAAAACUAUAAACGUUGGAAUUUUUCUGGAUAUGUGACAAAUAUAACAGGAAAUGCAUAAAGGUUAAGAAUAUGUAGAAAGCUCAGUGAGUCAACAUAUGUGCGAUGUUUGACAAUGUGUUGUUAAUGUUUAGUUGUCAUUGAGGCAUUGUCUGUUAUAUGUAAUUUGUUUUGCAAUAAAGUUACCGUAUUUUUCGCCCUAUAGGACGCACCGUCCCAUAAGGCGCACCUAGUUUUGUUUUGUUUUAAAAGAAUAUUUAUUCCAGUUUUAAAGUUACAAAAAAUAUAGAAAAAACAAACCACACACAUCUUACAAAAAACAAACAAUAAAAAAGAAAUAAGAAAGACAAAAAAUCACAGUAAAAAUAACAAAAUUCAAAUUAGACCAUUACAACCUUUUUCCCUUUUACUUGUUUCCAUGACUUCCUCUCACCUCCCUGCUUUGUAUUCUAGUUUAAAUCAGUAUCUCCAGCAAAUCCUUCAAACCUUCUUUCUUUUACUUAUUUGAACAUUCGAAAGUAUUUAAUUCUCCUCUAUCCUCAUUUUACACUUCAUAUUUACUUAUUCCAUUAUACCCUGUCUGCCAAUACGGUCUAAUAUUCUUCUCCAACCUUUUUCUAACAUUCUUUUAUAUUACAGUGUUUCUGAAGAUAUAUUUUAAAUUUUUUCCAGUCUUCUUCCAUCAACCCUUCUUCCUGAUCUCGAAUUCUGCCGGUCAUCUCAGCCAGUUCCAUAUAGUCCAUCACUUUCCUCUGCCAUUCUUCUCGGGUAGGCAAUUCUUGUGUCUUCCAGUAUUUCCCAAUAAGUAUUCUUGCCGCUGCUGUCGCAUACAUAAAAAAAUUCCUAUCUUCCCUUCGCACCAAUUGGCCGACCAUGCCCAGGAGGAAGGCCUCUG